AUGAACGCUGGCGGCGUGCCUAAUACAUGCAAGUCGAGCGAACAGACGAGGAGCUUGCUCCUCUGACGUUAGCGGCGGACGGGUGAGUAACACGUGGAUAACCUACCUAUAAGACUGGGAUAACUUCGGGAAACCGGAGCUAAUACCGGAUAAUAUAUUGGACCGCAUGGUUCAAUAGUGAAAGACGGUUUUGCUGUCACUUAUAGAUGGAUCCGCGCCGCAUUAGCUAGUUGGUAAGGUAACGGCUUACCAAGGCAACGAUGCGUAGCCGACCUGAGAGGGUGAUCGGCCACACUGGAACUGAGACACGGUCCAGACUCCUACGGGAGGCAGCAGUAGGGAAUCUUCCGCAAAGGGCGAAAGCCUGACGGAGCAACGCCGCGUGAGUGAUGAAGGUCUUCGGAUCGUAAAACUCUGUUAUUAGGGAAGAACAAAUGUGUAAGUAACUAUGCACGUCUUGACGGUACCUAAUCAGAAAGCCACGGCUAACUACGUG
rnacentral:rRNA from 1 species